rnacentral:rRNA from 1 species
UACAGAGGGUGCGAGCGUUAAUCGGAAUUACUGGGCGUAAAGCGUGCGCAGGCGGUUGUGCAAGACAGAUGUGAAAUCCCCGGGCUCAACCUGGGAACUGCAUUUGUGACUGCACGGCUAGAGUGUGUCAGAGGGGGGUAGAAUUCCACGUGUAGCAGUGAAAUGCGUAGAUAUGUGGAGGAAUACCGAUGGCGAAGGCAGCCCCCUGGGAUAACACUGACGCUCAUGCACGGAAGCGUGGGGAGCAAACAGG